CUAAAAGCAAAAAUUGUGUCAUCUGAGUUUGAUUGCAUUACCAAGGAUUUCAGAGGGUGAUUCAAGAGAAAAUAGGUAAGGAUAUAUAGACGGAUGGGCCUAAAAGAAACUAGGAGUUCUUGAUUGCACCUGCAGUAAUUUAGAAGUCUACAAUGGGGCCGCUUGUUCUGGCUUGACCAUUGAUUGGUUGUCACUUUGCUGAGUCGGAUAGAUAAGUGCAGCAAGUGAAAUAGGCAUGAUGCAGAGUGAUUUGGAUUGAAGGUACUGCAUGGCUGUUCCAACAUCUUCCUCCAUGAGCUUUGCUACCUCUUGCUCUGUUUCAGAAUCAGACCACUUCUCCCAGACGUGCUGGUUGGAAUGACUUUCACAGGUGUCUCCCUCAACAGACUGCAAUGGAAUAUCAGCAACAACUUGUGCCGCCGCGCUAGUUCCUCCCAACCUACUCAUGCUCAGUACCUUAACUUGAAGCCUUAAGAACUUCACAUAGUCCAGAAUCUCAUCAAGCAUUGCUGCCCUGUCGGUCUUAUUGCAGCUGGGGACAAGUUCCUGUAAAGCCUUUAUUCGUUCUGAUAUCCUUUCUCUCCUUAACCGCUCAGCAAUACUAUGUGGAUCAGUGGCCUGUCCUCUUCGUGCCCGAACCCUAGGACGAAUUGCAGGUUGGUGUGGUAUUGUUACUAUUGCGCUUGAUGUAGGGUGGCCUUGAAAAGGCUGGACUUGGUGAACUUGAGGAACACUUAGGCAAACAGCAUGAGAUUGCAAAUGUUCUAGACCUGGAUACAAAUUCCCCAUGUUCAUUGCUUCUCUUUCAGUCUUCACUUGAAAACCUCCAGUGUUGUUGGCGUCAGCAAAGCCAUUAUCCAAACUUAACCCCAAUGGGAACAACGGCUGCUGCUGGAGCUGAGAGACACCAGAUGUUGAAUUCUCCGAUGAGGCACCGGCGGUUAAAUCAGUUACCGGCAGGCUAGCAUAAGAGGGAAUCGCCAGAAUUUGCUCGAGAAAAUCAUCGGCAGCAUAUACCUCCGGUGGGUUGUCCGCCAUGCCGGAGUUUGCCGGCGUAUAGGUUUAUUGAGCUU
rnacentral:misc_RNA from 1 species